ACGUCCAUUUGAAGGCAAGUUCUUAGACUUUAUUUAAAUCUUUGUUUAAUCAAAAUGUAUAGCCUGUGUAUAUUUUGUAUGUUUUAUUUUAUUUAAAAUGUUCGGGAAUGAGUCAACCGUCCUCGCAUGUUCAAAAAACAUGAGUGUGUGUUCGCGUGUGUGUGUGUGUCAAAGAAACGGGAGAUUGCGGACCGUCUGAAGGGUUGACUCUUUAUUAAGAGCCAGUGGAUUCACUGAUGCUUGAUUCUGUCCCCAGUCUGGUUCAGCCUCGCAUUCACGUCUUCCCUCUGUAACCGCGCCGUCCAGACGACGGACGUUUGCUGUGCACCUGAAUCUGGAAGGUGGACAGAGAGGAGGAAGAGAGAUCCACAAAACAGACCGAGAGGAUACAGGGAUCGGAAUGCAGAAAGAGGAUUGGAGGAGGAGGAGGAAAGUAGAUGAGGAAAUGUGAAGGUGAGGGAGGAGAUGGGGCGUUAGUCACAGGGUAACUUCAGCUCCCGUUGUGGCUGACCAGAGAGGGAUUCCUCAUCCGUGUUCAGCGGACUACAGAAACACUAUACGUGCCAUGUGUCCGUCCCCGUUCCAUUAUGCCAUAAGCUACCUCCACCCAAAACAUUGGGUGCUCAGUAGUGAGACUAGUCAUGCUUAUUAUAAGUGUAUUUUAUGAGGGGCCGUUUAGGACUUGACUAUUGAAAUGCUCUCGCGCACACUACUGAGACACACACACAUACAUACACACUUUGUAAACCUAUGCACACGCAUGUAUAAAGCGUUAUACAUCUUCAUCUGAUCUUAUGUGCACUAGUGAGAUGCUGUUACGUUCACUAGUGGGAGUGUCUCAAUAGUCCUAAACGGCCCCUCGUGGUAUUUCUGACUCUGUUACAAUGACAAUUUCUUGAGUCUCUCAGACAGCAGUUGGUUGAGUUAUCAGACUCAAAAUGGACUUGUAAAACAAGCCGUUUCUAAUUGGUGCCGUUUAGAUAAUUGGUUUGUUCAAGAAUGCUCACUCCUCGAUGGUGCAUUAAUAAUACUCAAAUUACACAUGAUUCUUGUGAUUGCUGGUGUUUGUUUUUGGAUUCCAUUUGCAGAACUAAGGAGAAUCACAAAUGACGUCUGCUCGCAAUUAUUAUGCAAAGAUAAUUAGACCAAGUAUGCGGCUGUACAUGAAAUGAAUAUAAAGCAAAGUGGUUUAUUAACUUCUGACCUACAAAAUGCUUUUGCCUCUAACUGAAUGAGACUGGGUUUGGUACAUUGUCAUGUUUGUGUAUGUUAACUCCAAGGGUUUCUCUCUCUCUCUCUCUCUCUCGUAGUAUUGCAACGAGAGAUGUAUGUAUGACACCACGUGUACGGUUUAGGUUGUACAUUGUGAUUUAAGGUGUUCGCUGGAACCUCAUCAACUCAAGGACAUUGAAAGUCAAAGUUUUUUAUUUUUUCUCUCACUCUCUUUUCCUCUUUCUGGACUCAAUCUCAGGGUGUGAGAUUGGUGUGAAAUGUGUUUCUUUCUGGGGAAACUGUUUGUUCGUGUUGGUGUCGCUUGUUCAGUAUCUGAGUGUGUGUGUGUGUGUGUGUGUGUAUCCUUGUGGUUUGUGUGGUUUGCCCCCCCCCCCCAUGACUCCAUAGUCUGAUUAAAAAAAACAUUUUAGCUAAGAAAAGUACCUUGUGAACUAUGUGGUACGACAUGUAUUGUUCAUUUGGGGCGAAUGGACACGCAAUGUUAAUAUUUUAAUAAACAUAACGAUUCAGUGACAAUUCAAUGCAGUGAUCCUUUUACAACCGAUUUUGCCGUCUCCCUCUUUAAUCAGUGCUCCUCUCUGCCUGCUGAGUGUUUGCUGGUGAGACUGCAGUUGCAGGGGGACUCCAUCCCAUCAGAGGCUCAUUAUGGGGUGCUGGCGAUGUCCGGCAGGCUUUUUCAGAUGUCUCUGCUUUAGGACUUUUUGGCAGAUCCCAAAGAACAGAGAGGGACAAGGCUGCGUUCUCAGGAAGACACACUGGCUGCAGGGCAGUAGGCUACUAAAGACAAGAAAUGCAAGUUGGAGGAGAUUCAGCCAAGAUGUUUAUUUGUUCUUAAGCAGUGUCGCAGCCUGGUGGGGUUGUUAUCCCACCCUGCAGUGGAUGUGCGCAGCCACUAUCUUUUUCUACUCCAACAAGCUGGAGCACCUCAGUGUGUGUGUGUGUGUGUGUGUCUUUUGAGGGUCGAUCCAAGGAGUUGAGUAACAGUUUCUCCCCUGAUGCAUCAAUGAGCAGGUGUGGAGUUGUUUACUUCCCAAUGGCUGCUUGUCUAAUCCUCUUCUGUACCCCGAGCUGAUGAAGCAAUUUUACUGUAGCAAAUAAAUCUGUCAGUUUGGAAACGUAAUGUAAAAAAUGUCCUGACUUGUUCUUAAAACUAUUAAGUAGUUUUCCAGAAUAUGUAGCUUAUUGCCACAUUUUUGUCAUGUGACAGUAUUUUAUUACCGCUGGCUGUUGCUCUUUAGAAGGUGAGCCAUCAUGUGCAUACUUGUUGAAAAAAUAUGAAAGCCCCGAUGUAAUGUGAGGAGGAAACGCAAUGAAGUUCCAAAAAGGCUACAGAAGGGUAAAAGUGCGUUAAAGACUUUUCUCGGUGUUAACAUGAUGAGAGAAAACAAGACAGAAAAUGUGUAAUUUCAUGACCAGGAUGACUUCUUGAUGCACAUUCAUUUUUUACAUUACUCCUGACAUGAUCUCUGCUUAUUAUCGCUGUUAAACAUUUAAAUACAUUUGCAGGCUCGUGACUGUCAGGGCGAUGCCGACCAUUAACAGUAAUACCAUCGUCACAUUAACACCACUGUUUGACUUACAAAUGACUAAUUGGCCGUUUUUAGAGAUGGCUUCUUGCUCUGAGAUGAUUUGAGAUGUUGGAGCUUCCGUACACACGUGACAGGUUUUCACAACUUUAUGAUAACAUUACGAAGCCCUUUCCGUUCUCACUACACAUGUGGGUGGUAACAAUCUACAGUGCAGCACUUUCAAUACUGACUCUGUUGCUUUCUGUCACAUGAAUGAGAAUCAAAACAUGUCAAACACUCCUCAGUACAAGUACUGUACCGCUGCAGUGGAGGAAAUACUUUUCCGACAGCAUCCUGACCGGAAACAGCAUUCACUAUUCUCCGUAUAUCUUUUCACAGGAUUGGAAGAUUUAUUGGAUUGGAGUGCUGUGAAAGGAGCUUCCUGACCUCGCUCACCCUGGGGGGGGAAGAGGGCUUUAAAUUGAUUUACUCAACCCAGUAUCCUUAAACAAUGUGCGUAUGUGUGUCCGAGCGCACACCCCCUGCUGAGAGUUGCUAAACCGCUUGCAGAAGUAUGACUGAUGAUCCCCCCUCAUAAACUACACUGUUAUCAAUUAGUGCAGCUGCGUUUGCCAGAGAGUGCGUGUGUUUUGUGGGAUCGGUAAAAGUUUUCUUUGCCAGCAUCAGCCCUCAUGUGGAAAGGCCCUCUCCUCGGUUUAGCAAAGCUCCCGGAGCAAAACGUCGGUUUGCUAAAUGAGAGACUUCCACUGUGGGUUAACUGGAAACAUCAGGGCUCCGGUCAGAGCCGCAAGAGGAACGGAGGGGCUGCUUCUGGGAGACAAAACAAAAGCAUGUCGUGAAAGUAAAAGGGAAAGCGUUGAAGCAGAGCGGGAGGCCGUCACCCCUUUAUCCAGAUUAAAGAUCAUGUUUCUGUGUUAGCAGGCAGCUUGACCUCCUCGUCUCCAUCCGCCCUGCAACUUCCUCCUCUUUUGAGGAUUUGUAUUCUCACACGAGGGCACACAUUUUGGAAGAUUCCCAAGUUGUUUGUGUGUUAUUGUGCUUUUGCGUGUCUCUGAACUCAUGCCUGACGGGACGUAAUACAAAGGAAUGCACAAGGUGAGGCCACACCAUGACACACACUACUGUCUCUGGGCGUCCCAGGGUGGUGUGACUGGGACAGCCUGCCAACAACUUGCAGCAAGACUGGUGACGAAGCAAUGUGUGACCCAAGCACAGGGGAAAAUAGGCAUCAUUUUGAAUCACGUAUUGGUCCCGAUUAUGCACAGGGCAUUAUUUCAUACAGUGACUUCAGCGACUGUUGUGUGUGCGCGAUCUCACAUCAUGAGGUAAUGGGUAUAAAGAAGUUAAAGUCCAAUUCAAAACCAAAAGAAAGUUGGUGGAUAACUAAAAUACACACUAACACACACACAUUUCUUUCCUUCAGCCGAGUAUACAAGGAUAGGAAUACAAAUGUAAACACACAGUCUCUUAAGCACUGGACCAAUUAUCUGUAUGUCUAAACACAUCCAGUCAUAAAUGAAAAAAGAUCACAUAUUUAUUGAAAUUCUGUUUACUGCAAUCUUUUUGGACACGUAGCUAACUGCCUCAUAGCAGUCACACCACCUCCGAAGUGACUUAUUUUGAGGGUUAUUGCCAGAGAAGUGGAUUACAUAAUGUGUUUUAAAAAAAAAGGUUUCAUGGAAGUUUUGAUACAUUGUUUUAAUAAUUUCAUAAAUUCUGCCGAGGCAAAGGUGAGGAUAAAUCAUAGCGACGUGUGAUUCCCCGACCUUUUCAGUUUUUGCUUUACUUUUUUUAAGAACGAUGGAUUAAGGGGACAUUUUUUCAAUUUAGUUGGAUUUUUUAUAUGCCAAAUAAAGUCAAAAACCUUGAACAUUAUUAUUCUGUAUGCAUACAUUAAUAGUAGAAUAACAGAUGUUUUCCUGUGUUUCCUCGUACUGGAUUGCAUAGGGCAUCGCGAUGGUGCAUUCACAGGUGUGAAUGUGAGCACCGAGAGCCGUCCAGCUCUUUGGGGCCGCCCUGCCCUUCGGCCCGUGUCAGCUGUGAUCGACUCAUGCCUCGAGACUUGUCAGCUCAGCCCCAGUCUUGUGUUUAAUCCAUGCCACUUCAAUGUGACUUCACAUCCCUGAGGUUCGUCAUUCGACAGCAGCCAGCUAAGCAGAUGUUUGGUACAACGACUGUAGCUCGUCUCUGGCUGCAGCUACGCACUCAUAUCUCACCGAGACGGCCAGCUCUGACCAGGUGUUCCUGCUCACCCGUGUGAGAUCAUGGCUUUAGAGGGGAGACGCAUUACAGUGAAGGUGGUGUCUGUCCUCGACACUCCUCCUCCACCCUGCUUCAUCCUUUCAUCUGGAGUGCGAGCUGUAACCCAUCUUCUAUACAUUACCACAUCGUCCAUCAACGAUGACGCCCAACAUUGUCUGUCUCUUCCCUUGCCGUGCAAACCCAGGAAUACUACUGCUCUCACACACACACACACACACACACACACACAGAAACCAUCAAGCUAGUUAUUUUCCCGUUGGUCACAGAACUUCUAUUGCCUAUAUGUCUCCCUGUCACCCGUGACGACAUGCCCACUCACCUCACUGACCGCUCUGAAAAGCUCAGAUUGUCCCGUCUCUCUCGGGUGGAUUUGGGUGACUCUGGGACUGCAUUGUUUACCCUCAGCUCCCGAGAUAGGAUACAUCCAGCCACCCAGGCAGGUGCUUAUCUGGUGCAAUGGAUCAUUGAUCACCUUCUUCCCCUUCAAUGAAUCAAGUCUCUGUUAGUUGAGUGGACAAUCAUCCACUUGGUAACCUAAAACUAACCUCAGAUAUUGCUGUUUCGGGGUUCACUGGUUUGUGGAUAAGGUUCAGCUGAGAAUAAAAUGGGAUGUUGCAUUUCAUUAGGACUUCGUUGAUGCUUGUCCAUCUGUCCGGAAAUGUGGCAAUAAACACUAAACGGCUGCAAUUUGGCUGAUCAUCUCACCAAAGCUAUGAAGACACAGUGAUGUCACCUUAAAAUAAACAGAGAUGUUGAAAGAAUGACAGCUUUGUCUACAUUAACUAUUUCAUAAACAUUUUGUUUGAGAAAUCCUACCAACUGUUCCGAUCCAACUCGCCACGUCCUAAGCAGCCGUCAUAAACCCGAUGAACGACUUUCUAUCUGGGCUGUAAAUAUUUAUCCAUUGCACAAAUCCCAAAUUCCAUUAGUGGAGUAAACAUAAACAUAUUUCUCUCUUUCUUAAGCAGGAAUAUAUGAACUUAAACAAUGUGAUGUUGACAAAGAGUUCAACCAAGAGCCACCAUAUGGUCAGCGGUGGAUCUCAGCAUUGUUACAGUAGUUGCCUGUUUCUGACAACAGCUUGGCUCCUAGUUCUCCAUCUCCAAACACACUGAGUGUGGCUCUCGGACCGACGCGGCCCAGCGAAACCCCAAACACGGCAACGGUUUGUAAUUCGUCAUGACUGUGUCCGGAUUGAAGUGAUGUGUUUGGGGUUGUGGAAAGAGCCCAUUGAAGGGGGGGGCGAGGGGGGUAGAUGAUGAGAGAAUUGGUUUGUUGUGGGUGUCAGUGAUACAACAAAUGGCACACACACACACACUAUUAGAUGACAUCCAAAUCCCUUUGUAACGGGGUUUACGUUAGCCCGGAUAAUCGUAGGCCCAAGCGCCGCCAAGAAGUGGUGGAGCGCAGGAGAGGGGACUUUUUUGUUUUGCUUCUGGCAAGCAAAGUAUUCUUCUCUCCUAAUCAUUUUUCAUAUAAAUAUGUCAAGUGUGUCAACCACAGCUGUGGUUCAAGCAUCGUGCUUCUUCCAUUUUCAUCCGGAAAGUAAGAAGUGAUUUGUUUAUUUAGUGCAACAAUAACAAGAAAAAGGAAAAAGACACCACAAACAAUAAGAUGCCACAGCACUAUGUAAUAGUGAGAUUACAGCGUUAGAAAAACGACUUACUUGUUGAAUAAAGAGAGUGCUGAUUCCUGCAUAAUGCACAAAUGAUGCUACAAUGAGCUUCAGUGAGCUCCGUAGAAGAAGCAGGGGGAUGUGGCCCAACGCUACGUGCCCCUAUUUGUGCGUUGGAGCGCUCAUUAACCCCCACUCCGUCCAUUACUGGUUCCGGACCUUGUGGCACCAAACUGUCUGCACCCCUUCCC
ensembl:lncRNA